GCCAGCAUAGUAUAGUGGUUUGAGUGUUGAACUGCAACUCUCGAGAUCAGGGUUCGAUUCCCUGCUCGGCCA